GUACACUCCUGCGGGAGGCAGCAGUGGGGAAUUUUGGACAAUGGGCGAAAGCCUGAUCCAGCAAUGCCGCGUGAGUGAAGAAGGCCUUCGGGUUGUAAAGCUCUUUUGUCAGGGAAGAAACGGUGAGAGCUAAUAUCUCUUGCUAAUGACGGUACCUGAAGAAUAAGCACCGGCUAACUACGUGCCAGCAGCCGCGGUAAUACGUAGGGUGCAAGCGUUAAUCGGAAUUACUGGGCGUAAAGCGUGCGCAGGCGGUUUUGUAAGUCUGAUGUGGAAUCCCCGGGCUCAACCUGGGAAUUGCAUUGGAGACUGCAAGGCUAGAAUCUGGCAGAGGGGGGUAGAAUUCCACGUGUAGCAGUGAAAUGCGUAGAUAUGUGGAGGAACACCGAUGGCGAAGGCAGCCCCCUGGGUCAAGAUUGACGCUCAUGCACGAAAGCGUGGGGAGCAAACAGGAUUAGAUACCCCAGUAGUCCCAUGA
rnacentral:rRNA from 1 species